GUUCUGAUCCUGGUUUCUUGAAUCCAGUAUGUCCUCGGUCUACCAGGAUCCCUACCGAACACGGUGCAUGGCUAAGAAUUUUCUGGUUGCUAGUCCUAAUCCCCUCCUUUCCAUUCUCCAACUUUUCAUCAAUGCGUUGAUGCUUGUGUAAAUGUACGAAUAUUAUCGAUACACGAAAGUCCUCUGCGCCGCUGCAAACAUCCUCAUACAUUGCUGCAAAGGAUGCUACAACUUUUCUUUGGUUGAUGAAAAUUUUGGUAUCUGCAGUAAAGGCAUCAACCACAUCAUUGAUCUCUAGCACAUCAUUUCCACCAUAUUCCUCCUCAUCACUGAAUUGAUCACCAUCUUGUAGCUGGUGAUACAUCAGUUUAGUUUUUCUGUGUUUCUCAGGUAGCUCCACCAGGUGCAUCAAGUAAGGAGUGAAGGGUACAUUCUGAGAACCACUCAUUGCUGAGAUUAGUCCAACUGUAGCAGAUGUAUGGCGCGAACAGUAAACACAAGCUAGCAUUCGAAGCUCCCUAUCCGUAUCAUGUGACUCGAUGGAGACAAAUUUAUGAGCAAAGUAAUAUUCCCUUGUUCUCAACAUAAAAACCACCACUAUUCCUGCAAUCAAUGUGUCAAGAACUACUACUAUUACCACCAAACUAUGAAGUUUUCUGGUCCACCAGGCAAUGAACUUAGGAACUAUUUCAAGAAUUAGAAGUUCAGUAUGGCCUUUAAAGUUAAGUAUGAAAGCAAGCAAAACACCCUCAUCCUUUGGAAUGUUUAGGUAAUGGCAAGCAGCUAGAGUACCCACAAUUUUUCCUCCAGUGCUCAACGAGAUCAUAAGGACAAUCAUAAUGGCAUUCUCAAAACUCAUAAGAUGCUUCACAUCAAAUUGGAAUCCUACAAAGCCAAAGUAAAUAGGAAGCAUGAAGUUGUGAACAGAAUAAGUGAGUUUUCGCAACAAUGUCCGAGCUGUUUUGCCUUCCCUAGGAAACAGCAAGCCAAAUAGGAAACAAGCAAAUGUACUUAGGUAACCAUAGGAUUCAAUGAUGCCUGCAGUAGCUACAACAAGGACGAAAACGAUGAGCACCUCUGUGUUUGACACAUAUUUUUGGUUCUGGUUCCUUUUGUUGAACCAAAUAGCUAAGUAUCUGUUCAAAAUAACAAGUGCCACCAUAAAGAAAAGGCAAAGAAUCCCAUUUCCAAACUUUUUCCCAUUUUGAACAGAAACGUAUGCAGAAUAUAAUAAUACACAAGACAUUUCAUUCACCAGAGAAGAAGAUAUUCCUAAUCUCCCUACUUCUAAAGUAUCAAUUUUCAAUUCUGCCGCCAUUCGAAUCACCACAGGAGAGGCUGAAUUUGCUAGAAUCAAUGGAAUAACAAUAACCAAUGUCCAUUUGCUGUAACUGAACUUCAAUAAAUGGAGGAUAACGAUUGCAGAAGCAGCUCCAAAAAGGGUGCAUACAAUUAUACCUCCAAAUGCAAGAGUGCUUGCCAAACGCAGAUUUCGCCUCAUAUAAGGAACAUCUGUGUCCAAACCAAUCAAGAACAUAAAAAAGACUCGAAAAUUGAAUGUCAGAACUCGAUAGUAUUCUAUAGAAGAAGACUGGAUAAAGAAUUCCUGAAGUUUUUUGAUUUUGCACAACAAUGAAGGACCUAGCACUAGUCCAGCCUGAAAAACAAAACAGCAAAAAAAAUAACAACAUAUGAAGUACUGCAAAAACCUUAAAAAUCUGCUCUUGUAUCAAAGAAAGACUGGAAAUGCAUACAAUAAUAUUUGCAACAGGUCCUGGUUGUCCUGAAGGUGUCAAGAUAAGAUGAAAAAUGUGGGAGAUUACAAGCAUACAAGCUGCCUGCAUUCCUGUUGUUAUUAUUGGGUUAAAGUUGAAGAGAUCUUCCUGGCAAAUUGCACGUUUGGCAAAUUGUGCAGCAUCCAUUUCCCAAGAAUAGUCUUAGCAAGAUUAACAUCCCUUCCUUUUUCCUCUUAUCUCAUCACCCCAUUUUCUGUGCUUAGGACUUGUGUGUGGCUUGGGAGCAUUAUCUUCACAUCUGAGAUUUCUUGGAGAACCUUUGUUUGCGGCAACAUGGUUAGAGACUAU
rnacentral:misc_RNA from 1 species